GAUGAACGCUAGCUACAGGCUUAACACAUGCAAGUCGAGGGGAAACGACAUCGAAAGCUUGCUUUUGAUGGGCGUCGACCGGCGCACGGGUGAGUAACGCGUAUCCAACCUGCCCAUCACUUGGGAAUAACCUUGCGAAAGUAAGACUAAUACCCAAUGAUAUCCCACGAAGGCAUCGGAAUGGGAUUAAAGAUUUAUCGGUGAUGGAUGGGGAUGCGUCUGAUUAGCUUGUUGGCGGGGUAACGGCCACCAAGGCAACGAUCAGUAGGGGUUCUGAGAGGAAGGUCCCCCACAUUGGAACUGAGACACGGUCCAAACUCCUACGGGAGGCAGCAGUGAGGAAUAUUGGUCAAUGGGCGAGAGCCUGAACCAGCCAAGUAGCGUGCAGGAAGACGGCCCUAUGGGUUGUAAACUGCUUUUAUAAGGGAAUAAAGUGGGUCACGUGUGACUUUUUGCAUGUACCUUAUGAAUAAGGACCGGCUAAUUCCGUG
rnacentral:rRNA from 1 species